rnacentral:tRNA from 4 species
UCGCGGGAUGGAGCAGUCUGGUAGCUCGUCGGGCUCAUAACCCGAAGGUCGUUGGUUCAAAUCCGGCUCCCGCAAU